GACGAAUGCUGGCGGCGUGCCUAAUACAUGCAAGUUGAGCGCUGAAGGUUGGUACUUGUACCGACUGGAUGAGCAGCGAACGGGUGAGUAACGCGUGGGGAAUCUGCCUUUGAGCGGGGGACAACAUUUGGAAACGAAUGCUAAUACCGCAUAAAAACUUUAAACACAAGUUUUAAGUUUGAAAGAUGCAAUUGCAUCACUCAAAGAUGAUCCCGCGUUGUAUUAGCUAGUUGGUGAGGUAAAGGCUCACCGAGGCGAUGAUACAUAGCCGACCUGAGAGGGUGAUCGGCCACAUUGGGACUGAGACACGGCCCAAACUCCUACGGGAGGCAGCAGUAGGGAAUCUUCGGCAAUGGACGAAAGUCUGACCGAGCAACGCCGCGUGAGUGAAGAAGGUUUUCGGAUCGUAAAACUCUGUUGGUAGAGAAGAACGUUGGUGAGAGUGGAAAGCUCAUCAAGUGACGGUAACUACCCAGAAAGGGACGGCUAACUACGUG
rnacentral:rRNA from 1 species